rnacentral:rRNA from 1 species
GAGGAAUAUUGAUCAAUGGGCGAGAGCCUGAACCAGCCAAGUAGCGUGCAGGAAGACGGCCCUAUGGGUUGUAAACUGCUUUUAUACGGGGAUAAAGUGAGGGACGUGUCCCUUAUUGUAGGUACCGUAUGAAUAAGGACCGGCUAAUUCC